AUUGAACGCUGGCGGCAUGCCUUACACAUGCAAGUCGAACGGCAGCACGGGAGCAAUCCUGGUGGCGAGUGGCGAACGGGUGAGUAAUAUAUCGGAACGUGCCCAGUCGUGGGGAUAACGUAGCGAAAGCUACGCUAAUACCGCAUACGAUCUAUGGAUGAAAGCGGGGGAUCGCAAGACCUCGCGCGAUUGGAGCGGCCGAUAUCAGAUUAGGUAGUUGGUGAGGUAAAGGCUCACCAAGCCGACGAUCUGUAGCUGGUCUGAGAGGACGACCAGCCACACUGGGACUGAGACACGGCCCAGACUCCUACGGGAGGCAGCAGUGGGGAAUUUUGGACAAUGGGCGGCAAGCCUGAUCCAGCAAUGCCGCGUGCAGG
rnacentral:rRNA from 1 species